CCCUUGAGGCGUGGCUUCCGGAGCUAACGCGUUAAAUCGACCGCCUGGGGAGUACGGCCGCAAGGUUAAAACUCAAAUGAAUUGACGGGGGCCCGCACAAGCGGUGGAGCAUGUGGUUUAAUUCGAUGCAACGCGAAGAACCUUACCUACUCUUGACAUCCAGAGAACUUUCCAGAGAUGGAUUGGUGCCUUCGGGAACUCUGAGACAGGUGCUGCAUGGCUGUCGUCAGCUCGUGUUGUGAAAUGUUGGGUUAAGUCCCGCAACGAGCGCAACCCUUAUCCUUUGUUGCCAGCGGUUCGGCCGGGAACUCAAAGGAGACUGCCAGUGAUAAACUGGAGGAAGGUGGGGAUGACGUCAAGUCAUCAUGGCCCUUACGAGUAGGGCUACACACGUGCUACAAUGGCAUAUACAAAGAGAAGCGACCUCGCGAGAGCAAGCGGACCUCAUAAAGUAUGUCGUAGUCCGGAUUGGAGUCUGCAACUCGACUCCAUGAAGUCGGAAUCGCUAGUAAUCGUAGAUCAGAAUGCUACGGUGAAUACGUUCCCGGGCCUUGUACACACCGCCCGUCACACCAUGGGAGUGGGUUGCAAAAGAAGUAGGUAGCUUAACCUUCGGGAGGGCGCUUACCACUUUG
rnacentral:rRNA from 1 species